AACCGAGAUUCCCCCAGUAGCGGCGAGCGAACGGGGAGCAGCCCAGAGCCUGAAUCAGUGUGUGUGUUAGUGGAAGCGUCUGGAAAGGCGCGCGAUACAGGGUGACAGCCCCGUACACAAAAAUGCACAUGCUGUGAGCUCGAUGAGUAGGGCGGGACACGUGGUAUCCUGUCUGAAUAUGGGGGGACCAUCCUCCAAGGCUAAAUACUCCUGACUGACCGAUAGUGAACCAGUACCGUGAGGGAAAGGCGAAAAGAACCCCGGCGAGGGGAGUGAAAAAGAACCUGAAACCGUGUACGUACAAGCAGUGGGAGCACGCUUAGGCGUGUGACUGCGUACCUUUUGUAUAAUGGGUCAGCGACUUAUAUUCUGUAGCAAGGUUAACCGAAUAGGGGAGCCGAAGGGAAACCGAGUCUUAACUGGGCGUUAAGUUGCAGGGUAUAGACCCGAAACCCGGUGAUCUAGCCAUGGGCAGGUUGAAGGUUGGGUAACACUAACUGGAGGACCGAACCGACUAAUGUUGAAAAAUUAGCGGAUGACUUGUGGCUGGGGGUGAAAGGCCAAUCAAACCGGGAGAUAGCUGGUUCUCCCCGAAAGCUAUUUAGGUAGCGCCUCGUGAAUUCAUCUCCGGGGGUAGAGCACUGUUUCGGCAAGGGGGUCAUCCCGACUUACCAACCCGAUGCAAACUGCGAAUACCGGAGAAUGUUAUCACGGGAGACACACGGCGGGUGCUAACGUCCGUCGUGAAGAGGGAAACAACCCAGACCGCCAGCUAAGGUCCCAAAGUCAUGGUUAAGUGGGAAACGAUGUGGGAAGGCCCAGACAGCCAGGAUGUUGGCUUAGAAGCAGCCAUCAUUUAAAGAAAGCGUAAUAGCUCACUGGUCGAGUCGGCCUGCGCGGAAGAUGUAACGGGGCUAAACCAUG
rnacentral:rRNA from 1 species